CACAUACCCAUGGGUCCUCUCUGAGCCAAUAUCAUGAAGGAGGUUAUGAAAAUAACAACAUGACAGUCAGGAUGAUGACAGCUUGAGAAGUAAGCUGUUCCAAGACAUGGAAAGUCCUCAGAGGAGCAGACUGGAAAUGCAGUGAAAAAAUUAGAGAGGAAACCAGUGUGGCUGCAUGAAGUGAGAAGCUUACUCCAUCACAUGUCUCCCACCGUGAUCUACUGCCUCACCACAGACCCAGAAACAACAUGGCCUAGGAACCAUGUCCUGAAAUCUCUACAACUGGAAUGGUCCAUCUCCAGCCAUCCAACUCACCAACUGAUGUCCAUCUUUCUCAGCUCCACAGUGAAUCAUCAGGCUGAUACAACCUCUACGUUAUCUAUGGAACAACCAUUUCCUCUACCUUCAUCCUCACCUGGGUGUUCCAGAAAACUCUUAACCGGUUUCCUAUUCCUAGCAUCUUUUUCUUUCCACAUCUUUCAACACAGGUAGCCAAACAGUCUGCUCCUGAAGAUUCUCCAAGUACAGUUCUCCAUUGUUCAAAUGUU